AUGGGGAUUUGUAAGAGCUUGUUUUUCUGUGAAUACCAGGUGAAAGUGGCGUUUAGCUGCUCCCUGGCCCUACUGGACCUCACAGACAAGACUGAGGAGGAAAUGCCACCAGGGGUGACGUUGAUGCACUGUGCAAAUGGACAGAAGAGGCUCAAGUUCCAACAAAAUCUCCAGAUCUGCUACAGUAACAACAAUCAGCAGACGGUUCCUCUCCGUGCAUACUUGGAUCUUUCUACUCUGAGUCUGUCUGAUGAGAGCAUCGACUUUGGCUUCUGCUACGUGGGGCAGACGCAAACUAGAGAAGUGAAACUCUGCAACCAGGGAGCUCGCACUUACUGGAAAUCACAUACAGGUAAUGGUACACUUCCUUACUGACAGAAAAAAUAAUGAUUUCUGAGGUCGCAAAUACAGAAAAAAGGUCAACUCCAUGUCUCUUAUAUUUGUCUGUUUUCCUCAAAUGUAGAACCAGAUGAAAAGGCGUCCACUGUGUUUAGUGUGACCCCAGACCUUGGUGAGCUCAGGCCAACAGAGCUGCACACUGCCAGUUGCAAACAGUAUCUUCAAAUCAGCUUCACUCCAAGGUAAGACAGUAGUAAAGCAACAAGCACGUUGAAACCUCCCACACAGCCUAUGUAUACGCUCAUGUGUCUGAUUCAUGUGUGUUUCAGUGAGGACAUCACAUUCAGGGCUGUGGUUGUAAUUCACUCUCCAACAGUGAAAACUCCACUCACUCUGCAGCUCCAGGGAACAGGAUCCUUAGAUGAGAAGUACAGAACAGAACUCUGAUUCUGAAUCAAAGUCAAGAUGUUGGAAUGCAAAGAAACACCAAUAAAAUAUUGCACCGAUGCUUCUCGUAAAAACCC
rnacentral:lncRNA from 1 species